UCAGGACGAACGCUGGCGGCGUGCUCGUACAUGCAAGUCGAACGAGAAGCUGACUUCGGUCAGUGGAAAGUGGCGGACGGGUGAGUAGUAUGUAGAGAAUCUGCCCUUGAGUGGGGGACAACAGAGGGAAACUUCUGCUAAUACCCCAUAUGAGCUAACUUGAAAUAGUUAUCUUGAAAACUCCGGUGCUCAAGGAUGAGUCUGCAUCUGAUUAGCUAGUUGGCGGUGUAAUGGACCACCAAGGCGACGAUCAGUAGCUGGUUUGAGAGGAUGAUCAGCCACAAUGGGACUGAGACACGGCCCAUACUCCUACGGGAGGCAGCAGUAGGGAAUUUUGCGCAAUGGGCGAAAGCCCUGACGCAGCAACGCCGCGUGAACGAUUAAGCCCUUCGGGGUGUAAAGUUCUGUCAGUAGGGACGAAUUUUGACGGUACCUACAGAGGAAGCACCGGCUAACUCCGUGCCAGCAGCGGC
rnacentral:rRNA from 1 species